GUUACCUCGAAUCAGGUAGGACUACCCGCUGAACUUAAGCAUAUC
rnacentral:rRNA from 1 species